CACGUAGGGCGCAAGCGUUGUCCGGAAUUAUUGGGCGUAAAGAGCUCGUAGGUGGUCUGUUGCGUCUGCUGUGAAAACCCGGGGCUUAACCCCUGGCUUGCAGUGGAUACGGACAGACUAGAGGUAGGUAGGGGAGAAUGGAAUUCCCGGUGUAGCGGUGAAAUGCGCAGAUAUCAGGAGGAACACCGGUGGCGAAGGCGGGUCUCUGGGCAGUAACUGACGCUGAGGAGCGAAAGCGUGGGGAGCGAACAGG
rnacentral:rRNA from 1 species